UACAGAGGUCUCAAGCGUUGUUCGGAUUCAUUGGGCGUAAAGGGUGCGUAGGCGGCGCGGUAAGUCGGGUGUGAAAUCUUGGAGCUUAACUCCGAAACUGCAUUCGAUACCGCCGUGCUUGAGGACUGGAGAGGAGACUGGAAUUUACGGUGUAGCAGUGAAAUGCGUAGAUAUCGUAAGGAAGACCAGUGGCGAAGGCGGGUCUCUGGACAGUUCCUGACGCUGAGGCACGAAGGCCAGGGGAGCAAACGGG
rnacentral:rRNA from 1 species